rnacentral:rRNA from 1 species
UACGAAGGGGGCUAGCGUUGCUCGGAAUCACUGGGCGUAAAGCGCACGUAGGCGGAUCUUUAAGUCAGGGGUGAAAUCCUGGAGCUCAACUCCAGAACUGCCUCUGAUACUGGGGAUCUUGAGUCCGGAAGAGGUAAGUGGAACUGCGAGUGUAGAGGUGAAAUUCGUAGAUAUUCGCAAGAACACCAGUGGCGAAGGCGGCUUACUGGUCCGGUACUGGACGCUGAGGUGCGAAAGCGUGGGGAGCAAACAGGAG